UAGGGAAUCUUCCGCAAUGGACGAAAGUCUGACGGAGCAACGCCGCGUGAGUGAAGAAGGAUUUCGGUUCGUAAAACUCUGUUGUUAGGGAAGAAAAAAUGUAUAGUAACUAUAUACAAAAGAGACGGUACCUAACCAGAAAGCCACGGCUAACUACGUGCCAGCAGCCGCGGUAAUACGUAGGUGGCAAGCGUUGUCCGGAAUUAUUGGGCGUAAAGCGCGCGCAGGUGGUUUAGAAAGUCUGAUGUGAAAGCCCACGGCUCAACUGUGGAGGGUCAUUGGAAACUAAUAAACUUGAGUGCAGGAGAGAAAAGUGGAAUUCCUAGUGUAGCGGUGAAAUGCGUAGAGAUUAGGAGGAACACCGGUGGCGAAAGCGGCUUUUUGGCCUGCAACUGACACUGAGGCGCGAAAGCGUGGGGAGCAAACAGG
rnacentral:rRNA from 1 species